rnacentral:rRNA from 1 species
UACAGAGGUCCCAAGCGUUGUUCGGAUUCACUGGGCGUAAAGGGUGCGUAGGUGGUCGAGUAAGUCUGAUGUGAAAUCUUCGAGCUCAACCCGAAAAUGGCAUUGGAUACUAUUCGGCUGGAGGGUUGGAAGGGGGACUGGAAUUCUCGGUGUAGCAGUGAAAUGCGUAGAUAUCGAGAGGAACACCAGUGGCGAAGGCGAGUCUCUGGACGACUCCUGACACUGAGGCACGAAAGCUAGGGGAGCAAACAGG